rnacentral:tRNA from 1 species
GGGGACGUAGCUUAGCGGCCAGAGCGGGGGCCUCCAAAGCCUCUGGCGUCGGUUCAAACCCGACCGUCCCCA